UAAGCGCGCGUAGGUGGCUUGAUAAGCCGGUUGUGGCUUCAACCUGGGAACGGCAUCCGGAACUGUUAGSAGGAGAGGAAGGUAGAAUUCCCGGUGUAGCGGUGAAAUGCGUAGAGAUCGGGAGGAAUACCAGUGGCGAAGGCGGCCUUCUGGACUGACACUGACACUGAGGUGCGAAAGCGUGGGUAGCAAACAGGAUUAGAUACCCUGGUAGUCCACGCCGUAAACGAUGUCGACCAGCCGUUGGGUGCCUAGAGCACUUUGUGGCGAAGUUAACGCGAUAAGUCGACCGCCUGGGGAGUACGGCCGCAAGGUUAAAACUCAAAUGAAUUGACGGGGGCCCGCACAAGCGGUGGAGCAUGUGGUUUAAUUCGAUGCAACGCGAAGAACCUUACCUACCCUUGACAUCUACAGAAGCCGGAAGAGAUUCUGGUGUGCCUUCGGGAACUGUAAGACAGGUGCUGCAUGGCUGUCGUCAGCUCGUGUUGUGAAAUGUUGGGUUAAGUCCCGUAACGAGCGCAACCCUUGUCSUUAUUUGCCAGCGAGURRUGUCGGGAACUCUAAGGAGAC
rnacentral:rRNA from 1 species